GGUUUAAUUCGAACGCAACGCGCAGAACCUUACCUGGUCUUGACUAUCUCGGGAAUCAUUUGGAAACAUAUGAGUGCCUCGCAAGAGGAGCCCGAUGACAGGUGCUGCAUGGCUGUCGUCAGCUCGUGUCGUGAGAUGUUGGGUUAAGUCCCGCAACGAGCGCAACCCUUGUCUUUAGUUGCCAUCAUUAAGUUGGGCACUCUAAAGAGACUGCCGGUGUCAAACCGGAGGAAGGUGGGAUGACGUCAAGUCCUCAUGGCCUUUAUGACCAGGGCUACACACGUACUACAAUGGCAGGUACAAAGGGCAGCCACUUAGCGAUAAGGCGCGAAUCCCAUAAAACCUGUCUCAGUCCGGAUUGGAGUCUGCAACUCGACUCCAUGAAGUUGGAAUCGCUAGUAAUCGCAGAUCAGCACGCUGCGGUGAAUACGUUCCCGGGCCUU
rnacentral:rRNA from 1 species